ensembl:misc_RNA Metazoa_SRP Metazoan signal recognition particle RNA
GCUGGGUGUGGUGGUGGGUGCCUGUAGUCCCAGCUACUUGGGAGGCUGAGGCAGAAGAAUCGCUUGAACCCGGGAGGUGGGGUUGCAGUGAGCUGAAAUCGUGCCACUGCACCCCAGCCUGGGUGACAGAGCGAGAUUCUGUCUCAA